AUGCUCAUUUCAGCAGCAUAUGUACUAAAAUUGGAAUAAGGUGAGAAGAUUAGCAUGGCCCCUGUGUAAGGAUGACACAUAAAUUCGUGAAGUGUUCCACAACAAA
rnacentral:snRNA from 1 species